rnacentral:rRNA from 1 species
CCGGUUCACUUUAACACUGAGGCGUGACGACGAGGCACUACGGUGCUGAAGCAACAAAUGCCCUGCUUCCAGGAAAAGCCUCUAAGCAUCAGGUAACAUCAAAUCGUACCCCAAACCGACACAGGUGGUCAGGUAGAGAAUACCAAGGCGCUUGAGAGAACUCGGGUGAAGGAACUAGGCAAAAUGGUGCCGUAACUUCGGGAGAAGGCACGCUGACACGUAGGUGAAGUGAUUUACUCAUGGAGCUGAAGUCAGUCGAAGAUACCAGCUGGCUGCAACUGUUUAUUAAAAACACAGCACUGUGCAAACACGAAAGUGGACGUAUACGGUGUGACGCCUGCCCGGUGCCGGAAGGUUAAUUGAUGGGGUCAGCGCAAGCGAAGCUCCUGAUCGAAGCCCCGGUAAACGGCGGCCGUAACUAUAACGGUCCUAAGGUAGCGAAAUUCCUUGUCGGGUAAGUUCCGACCUGCACGAAUGGCGUAAUGAUGGCCAGGCUGUCUCCACCCGAGACUCAGUGAAAUUGAACUCGCUGUGAAGAUGCAGUGUACCCGCGGCAAGACGGAAAGACCCCGUGAACCUUUACUAUAGCUUGACACUGAACAUUGAGCCUUGAUGUGUAGGAUAGGUGGGAGGCUUUGAAGUGUGGACGCCAGUCUGCAUGGAGCCGACCUUGAAAUACCACCCUUUAAUGUUUGAUGUUCUAACGUGGACCCGUAAUCCGGGUUGCGGACAGUGUCUGGUGGGUAGUUUGACUGGGGCGGUCUCCUCCUAAAGAGUAACGGAGGAGCACGAAGGUUGGCUAAUCCUGGUCGGACAUCAGGAGGUUAGUGCAAUGGCAUAAGCCAGCUUGACUGCGAGCGUGACGGCGCGAGCAGGUGCGAAAGCAGGUCAUAGUGAUCCGGUGGUUCUGAAUGGAAGGGCCAUCGCUCAACGGAUAAAAGGUACUCCGGGGAUAACAGGCUGAUACCGCCCAAGAGUUCAUAUCGACGGCGGUGUUUGGCACCUCGAUGUCGGCUCAUCACAUCCUGGGGCUGAAGUAGGUCCCAAGGGUAUGGCUGUUCGCCAUUUAAAGUGGUACGCGAGCUGGGUUUAGAACGUCGUGAGACAGUUCGGUCCCUAUCUGCCGUGGGCGCUGGAGAACUGAGGGGGGCUGCUCCUAGUACGAGAGGACCGGAGUGGACGCAUCACUGGUGUUCGGGUUGUCAUGCCAAUGGCACUGCCCGGUAGCUAAAUGCGGAAGAGAUAAGUGCUGAAAGCAUCUAAGCACGAAACUUGCCCCGAGAUGAGUUCUCCCUGAGACUUAGAGUCUCCUGAAGGAACGUUGAAGACGACGACGUUGAUAGGCCGGGUGUGUAAGCGCAGCGAUGCGUUGAGCUAACCGGUACUAAUGAACCGUGAGGCUUAACCUUAC